rnacentral:rRNA from 1 species
CAACUUUCAACAACGGAUCUCUUGGCUCUCGCAUCGAUGAAGAACGCAGCGAAAUGCGAUAAGUAAUGUGAAUUGCAGGUUUUCAGUGAAUCAUCGAAUCUUUGAACGCACCUUGCGCUCCUUGGUAUUCCGAGGAGCAUGCCUGUUUGAGUGUCAUUA